rnacentral:rRNA from 1 species
AGAGCGAACGCUGGCGGCAGGCCUAACACAUGCAAGUCGAGCGCCCAGUAAUGGGAGCGGCAGACGGGAUAGUAACACGUGGGAACGUACCUUUCAGUUCGGAACAACCCAGGGAAACUUGGGCUAAUACCGAAAUACGCCCGUAAGGGGAAAGAUUUAUCGCUGAAAGAUCGGCCCGCGUCUGAUUAGCUAGUUGGUGGGGUAAUGGCCCACCAAGGCGACGAUCAGUAGCUGGUCUGAGAGGAUGAUCAGCAUCACUGGGACUGAGACACGGCCCAGACUCCUACGGGAGGCAGCAGUGGGGAAUAUGGACAAUGGGCGCAAGCCUGAUCCAGCCAUGCCGCGUGGAUGAUGAAGGCCCUAGGGUUGUAAAGUCCUUUCGGCGGGGAAGAUAAUGACGGUACCCGCAGAAGAACGCCCGGCUAACUUCGUGCCAGCAGCCGC